GGACUACACGGGUAUCUAAUCCUGUUUGCUCCCCACGCUUUCGUGCCUCAGUGUCAGGAAUUUCCCAGAAAGGCGCCUUCGCCGCCGGCCUUCCCCCGAAUAUCUGCGCAUUUCACCGCUACACUCGGAGUUCCCCUUUCCCCUGAAAUCCUCAAGCCGCGCAGUAUAACGCGCAAUUCCCCGGGUAAGCCGAGGGCUUUCACACGUUACUUACGCAGCCACCUACGCACCCUUUAAGCCCAGUGACACCGAACAACGUUCGCCCCUCACGUAUUACCGCGGCUGCUGGCAC
rnacentral:rRNA from 1 species